rnacentral:tRNA from 1 species
GGAUAUAGCUCAAUGGUAGAGCCCUUGCCUAGCAUGUGACGGGUCCUGAGUUUGAUCCCCAGCACCA